rnacentral:lncRNA from 10 species
GGAUUUUUUUUAACCCUGAUAAUUUGUGGUAGGUUUCUUUAUUUUUUGAAUAUAAAGUGACAGAAAUAAUUUGCCAUUAGAAAAGAGAAAGAAUCUUUGACUAUUUACAGCUUUUAUACAUCACAAAGUUUUUCUUGUUUUUUUAUCGUUGCCUAUUCCUGUUGUCUCUACCUCCUCUCCUUCCCCUCUUUCUUGAAUCCACCCCAUCAUGCUUUUGCCCCCACCAGUCCACUGAAACAGCUCUCUUCCAGGUCAUCAAUGGGAUGACCUCCAUGUUUCCAGAUAGUCUUAUCCUACUCAAUAAUAGUACUUGCUUUACCCAUUAACCACUCCUCCCAUUGCUGGUCCCUUCUCAUCUCCUGGAGCUUUGAACAAUCCUCCACCCUGGGCCUCAGUCUAGAGAAUCCUCUUCUGUCGCUACUCAUUCUCUAGUUCCAGUAUCAUGGCUUCAAAUACCAACCAAACGCAUACAAAUUUUAAAUAUGUAUCUUCAGGCUAUACAUUUUCCCUGAACUCCAGGUCCAUAUAUCUAAUUGCCUAAUCAUC